UGGGGCGUCGCCAAGUGGUAAGGCAACGGGCUUUGGUCCCGCUAUUCGGAGGUUCGAAUCCUUCCGUCCCAG
rnacentral:tRNA from 2 species